UUUUGGGAGUACUUCCUUCCACACAUUGCAGGCACAAAGCGUUCUACCGGCUUCUCUGAGGGGGACUUCAAUCGACCGGGGCGACGAUCGAGAAAGCUGGAGAAUAAUUCUUAGCGAUUGGUGAAAGGAGUUUUUUCCGUGAGAGAGAAAGGUACAGUGAAGUGGUUCAACGGGGCGAAAGGGUAUGGAUUCAUCCAGCGCUCCACGGGGGAAGAUGUAUUCGUGCACUUCUCCGCCAUCCAGGAGAACGGCUACCGCACGCUCAACGAGGGUGAGACCGUGGAGUUUGACCUGCUGAAGGGCCCCAAAGGCUUCCAGGCGGCAAACGUCGUCCGCGCAUAAUCCUGCGAACCAUUCGAGAACCCUCCCGGUGCCAGCGGGAGGGUUUUUUA
rnacentral:misc_RNA from 1 species